UCUCAAUGUCAGCCUUAGGAAGGGUAACAUCCACAUCUGGGCCCUCUCCUUUGAAUCCUGGCAUGCUGAAUUUGGGCAUUUUCACCUUGGGCAUCUUCAGGUGCCAGUCUGGGCCAUGAACAUCCACAUCUGGGGCAUCAAUGUCCACUUUGGGCCCUCUGAUGUCAACAUCUGGCACUUUCAUUUCACCUUCUACCUUGGGAACAGACACAUCCAUAUCCCCUUUGACUUUGGGGCCUUUCAAAUGUAAGUCCACAUCAGGCAUGGAGAUCUUGGGGA
rnacentral:lncRNA from 1 species